GCCCGCGUAGCUCAAUCGGCUAGAGCGUCAGACUUUUAAGUCUUGAAAUCUGAAGGCUGCGAGUUCGACCCUCGCCGCGGGCU